CUCUUUCUCCCAGCUUAGUGCUUGGAGCCGUCCACGCUGCACCACACUCUCCUGACCAGGUCUUUGGGUGCCGGUUGACACAGCCAUUAAGAGUCCUGCAGCCAUCGGUUCUAACUCUAGCGCUACCAUCCCUGGGCUGUUACUUUGGGUAGGUACGAGACUGUGGUUCCUAGAGCCUCUGUUUAUCGACCAGAAGAUCCUGAAGAUGCUGUGAGGAUGGAACGGAACCAGCUGCAGAACCCUUGUCCUGUGCUUCGGGGUUUGCCUUCUCUACAAGAUGGGGACAGGAACCAAGUUCUCCAUCUAUGUUCAUUCCCACCCUGUCACCUGAGGAAGUGACCACGGGGGCUCACAGGCGCAGCCUCAUAGUGCAAGUGAUUUCUAGAAGAGAAUGAGAGCAACUUGGCCUAACCCUCAAGGCUCACUUAGAGGACUUAUAUUCUUCCCUUAACCAUCCUGGAGCUGGAGGAGCCUGCAGGGGGCUGAUGAUGCCAUGGAUGGCUGCGUGGGCAUCCCUGGAGGUGGCUCCCUAGAGACAGAGGGAAAUGGCUCCUCUCACUUUCUGCACACCGUCUCCAUCUGGGUCUCUGGAUCUGUUCCCAUCUGCUGCAGGAGGAAACUUCUCUGAUGAUAGCUGAACGAGGCAUUAACCUGCUUCCCUGACCAGACUGGUCUGUUCUUCUUGGCGAGUUCCUAUUCAUCCCUCAAUACCCACUCCUCGUGGUUGCCCUUCCGCCGGACUACAUAUUCAGUCAAUCUCUUCUCUGGACCCUAAGAAGGCUCAGAACAGGGCCUGGUGUACACUCAAUAUUCAAUUAUUGCUUAUCAGAGAGAUAAGAAAGGUUUCCCAGGGCCAGUGAGAUGGCUCAGUGGUUAAGAGCACCGACUGCUCUUCUUAAGGUCCUGAGUUCAAAUC